UCGAGAAUUUUUCUCAAUGGGGGAAACCCUGAAGGAGCGACGCCGCGUGGAGGAUGAAGGUCUUCGGAUUGUAAACUCCUGUCAUUGGGGAACAAUGGUUACGUGUUAACUGCGCGUGACUUGAUAGUACUCGAAGAGGAAGGGACGGCUAACUCUGUGCCAGCAGCCGCGGUAAUACAGAGGUCUCAAGCGUUGUUCGGAUUCAUUGGGCGUAAAGGGUGUGUAGGUGGCGCCGUAAGUCGGGUGUGAAAUCUCGGAGCUUAACUUCGAAACUGCAUUCGAUACUGCGGUGCUUGAGGACUGGAGAGGAGACUGGAAUUUACGGUGUAGCAGUGAAAUGCGUAGAUAUCGUAAGGAAGACCAGUGGCGAAGGCGGGUCUCUGGACAGUUCCUGACACUGAGACACGAAGGCCAGGGGAGCAAACGGGAUUAGAUACCCGUGUAGUCC
rnacentral:rRNA from 1 species